UCAUUCAUUCUCUUCUUCCUUCCUCUGCUUCCUUUCUAUGUUACUUUCUUAAUGGCUAUGCCUCUCUUAACAUGGCUUCAGAGCUCAGCUUAAUUCCGACGAGUUCAACAAUGGCAGGCGAGUAAGGAGAAGAUAUAAUUGAGCUAGCUGAAUCCAGGAUUGUUUUCUAUUUUCUCAUCUGGUUCAAGUUGCAGGUGAAGAAAUGAUCUUCUCUUCCAGUUAGGGUUUUGUGAUUUCUGAACGAUUCACCAAUUUCUUCUGAAUUUCACAACGAUUUGAGUAAGUAAUUCUCUUCAAUCUCCAAGUCUAAAAAUUUAAUAUGGCGAUUAAUGAAAAUGAGUCGACUUUGACUACUAUUACAUCAUUUACAUCUGAUAAUCAGAAUAUUGACUUAGUUCAUCACAAUCAUCCUUUGUAUAUUCAUCCUUCUGAUACUCAAGAUGAUGUUCUCAUCUUGAUUCAGCUUCGAGGAUCUGAAAACUACUCUCUUUGGAGUAAAUCUAUGAAAAUUGUAUUGCAUGGCAAAAACAAGUUAGGUUUUGUACUAGGAAUCUGUAGAAAGGAGCUUUACGAUCCAUGUCUUCAUGAGCUUUGAGAUCGAUGUAAUGCAAUUGUUUUAGCAUGGAUAAUGAACAGUGUAGCAUCUAAUCUACUAAGCAUUUUGAUAUAUGAAUCUAAUGCCUACAAGGUUUGGGAAGACCUUCGUGAAAGAUAUAAUAAGGUAAAUGUUGCUAGAUCGUUUUAUCUUCACAAGGAAAUUGCGAAAUUGACUCAAAAUCUGCUAAUAGUGUUAGAGUAUUUCUCAAAACUUAGAGAGUUAUGGGAUGAGUAUGAAGCUUUAGCUCCUCCUCCUUCAUGUGGAUUCCCUGAAUCCAAGCAACAUGUAGAACAUUACCAACUACAAAAACUGUAUUAGUUUUUGACAUGUUUAAAUGAUUUAUUUGACCAUGCUAAAGAACAAAUUCUUAUGAUUCGGCCACUUCCUAAUAUCAACCAGGUAUAUGCUAUGGUAGUUAAUGUUGAGAGUCAAAGGAAAAACAGGCAGCUCUAAGUGUUGGCAUUGAUAAUUCUACAUCACUGAUGAAUAAAGUUAAUGUAGGAAAUGAAAAUAGCAAUUUCAUAUCUAGAAACAAUCUUGGGAGAUCUCCACUACAACGUGACUACUGUCACUUGAAAGGUCAUACCAAGGACACAUGCUAUAAACUUUAUGGAUACCCUACUGACUUCAAGGCCAAGAGAAGAGGCUAUUCAGGCCCUCAUGUGACCAAUGCAUUUACUGCCAGAGGAUUUCAAUCUCCUGACCUUCCUCAGCCUAUUCCACAACUAUCUUCACAACCUACUCCUCAGUUUUCUCCUGCUCCAAUGUUUACUCAAGAACAAUAUGACAGAUAUUGCAUAUGCUGAACAAAGGAAAACAAGUAGAAUCAAUGGCUAAUACAGUAAUUAUGAAUAACACAGUUAAUAUAGGAUCCUUCAUUUCUCAUCUAGUUAAUGGUAACUGGAUAGUAGAUACAGGGGCUUCCAACAUAUGGUGCACAAUUCCAAGCUACUAAGUGAAACCAAAGAUCUGACCAGUAUAGAUCAUAACACGGUUCAUUUUCCUAAUGGUAAGCAGAUUGCUAUCAGUCACUCAGGAGUGUCCACAAUCUUCAAAACUAAAUCAUUACAGAAUGUAUUGUAUAUUCCAGACUUCAAAUAAAUCUUGCUUUCAGUCUCAAAGCUUACAAAGGAGUUAAGAUGUCUUGUUGAUUUCUUUCUUGAUAUAUGCCUUUUUCAGGAUCUCUUGAGUGGGAAGGUAAUGAGGAUUGGUAAGGAAGAAUGUAGACUUUACAUCCUAAAGCCAUAUACUCUUGAUGGACCAGUACAGUAGUUGAAUGCAAAGCACAGUAACAAGCUAGCAUCUUCUGCAAAUAAUAUCUCUAGUUCCAAUAAGGCAUUUUCUUUUCAGUCUACUAAGAAUUUAAAGUGUGUCUCUAUGGCACAAGAGAUUGAGACAUGCUCAUCUAAAAGUUCUACAGAGAAUUAGUAG
rnacentral:lncRNA from 1 species